rnacentral:rRNA from 1 species
UACGGAGGGUGCGAGCGUUGUCCGGAAUCAUUGGGCGUAAAGCGCGUGUAGGCGGCCCGGUAAGUCCGCUGUGAAAGUCGGGGGCUCAACCCUGGAAUGCCGGUGGAUACUGUCGGGCUCGAGUUCGGAAGAGGUGAGUGGAAUUCCUGGUGUAGCGGUGAAAUGCGCAGAUAUCAGGAGGAACACCAAUGGCGAAGGCAGCACUCUGGGACGUGACUGACGCUGAGACGCGAAAGCGUGGGGAGGCAAACAGG